AACGAGGCCGACCUGCGGCUGAGUUACCUGCGGAGGGAUCAUUACGUAUUAGGGCUGCCUCUGGCGCUCUUUACACACCCACCCAUUGCCUAUGCGUACCUCUGAUAGCUUCCUCGGCGGGCUCGCCCCGCCGAUAGGAACCCCCAUAACCCUUUGCAUCGUACACGAAAACUUCCGAUACCCACCUAAAUUAUCACAACUUUUAACAAUGGAUCU
rnacentral:misc_RNA from 1 species